GCCCCUGUAGCUCAAUCGGAGAGAGCGUCGUCCUCCGACGGCGAAGGUUGGCGGUUCGAGUCCGUCCAGGGGCACGA
rnacentral:tRNA from 1 species